rnacentral:rRNA from 1 species
AGGACGAACGCUGGCGGCGUGCUUAACACAUGCAAGUCGAGCGGUAAGGCUCCUUCGGGAGUACACGAGCGGCGAACGGGUGAGUAACACGUGAGCAAUCUGCCCUUCACAUCGGAAUAACCUCGGGAAACCGAGGCUAAUACCGGAUAUGACCAUCGGUGGCAUCAUCUGAUGGUGGAAAGUUCCGGCGGUGAAGGAUGAGCUCGCGGCCUAUCAGCUUGUUGGUGGGGUAACGGCCUACCAAGGCGACGACGGGUAGCCGGCCUGAGAGGGUGACCGGCCACACUGGGACUGAGACACGGCCCAGACUCCUACGGGAGGCAGCAGUGGGGAAUAUUGGACAAUGGGCGAAAGCCUGAUCCAGCAACGCCGCGUGAGGGAUGACGGCCUUCGGGUUGUAACCUCUUUCAGCAGGGACGAAGCGAAGUGACGGUACCUGCAGAGAGCACCGGCCACUACGCGCCAGCAGCCGCGGU